UACGUAGGUGGCAAGCGUUGUCCGGAAUUAUUGGGCGUAAAGCGCGCGCAGGCGGCCUCUUAAGUCUGAUGUGAAAUCUUGCGGCUCAACCGCAAGCGGCCAUUGGAAACUGGGGGGCUUGAGUACAGAAGAGGAGAGUGGAAUUCCACGUGUAGCGGUGAAAUGCGUAGAUAUGUGGAGGAACACCAGUGGCGAAGGCGACUCUCUGGUCUGUAACUGACGCUGAGGCGCGAAAGCGUGGGGAGCAAACAGG
rnacentral:rRNA from 1 species